GACGAACGCUGGCGGCGUGCUUAACACAUGCAAGUCGAACGGAAAGGCCCUGCUUUUGUGGGGUGCUCGAGUGGCGAACGGGUGAGUAACACGUGAGUAACCUGCCCUUGACUUUGGGAUAACUUCAGGAAACUGGGGCUAAUACCGGAUAGGAGCUCCUGCUGCAUGGUGGGGGUUGGAAAGUUUCGGCGGUUGGGGAUGGACUCGCGGCUUAUCAGCUUGUUGGUGGGGUAGUGGCUUACCAAGGCUUUGACGGGUAGCCGGGCUGAGAGGGUGACCGGUCAAAUUGGGAAUGAGGAAAGGCCCAGAAUUCCUAGGGAGGGAAGAGUUGGGAAAAUUGCAAAAAUGGCGGGAGGCCGAUUGAGGAAAGCCGGGUGGCGGAUGAAGGGCUUUCGGUUGUAAAACGCUUUCGGCUGUGAAGAAGGGUGAGUGAAGGUAAUGGGGAAAGAAGCAACGGACAAACAAGGUC
rnacentral:rRNA from 1 species